UAGGGGAUUGCCUCAGUAACGGCGAGUGAAGCGGCAAAAGCUCAAAUUUGAAACCUUCGGGAUUGUAAUUUGAAGAUUUGGCAUUGGAGAAAGCUAACCCAAGCUACUUGGAAUAGUACGUCAUAGAGGGUGACAACCCCGUCUGGCUAACCGUUCUCCAUGUAUUGCCUUAUCAAAGAGUCGAGUUGUUUGGGAAUGCAGCUCAAAGUGGGUGGUAAACUCCAUCUAAAGCUAAAUACUGGUGAGAGACCGAUAGCGAACAAGUACUGUGAAGGAAAGGUGAAAAGAACUUUGAAAAGAGAGUGAAAUAGUAUGUGAAAUUGUUGAUAGGGAAGGAAAUGAGUGGAGAGUGGUUUAGGUUUCAGCCCUUCUUUGGAAGGGUGUACUGCCGACGCCGAGUCAUUGUCAGCGAGAUGGGGGAUAUAAACGGUUUCCUUUUAAGGUUUCCACCUACCCCCCUUACUGCCGUCAACGACAUAAUCCACCCAUUUCACCCGUCUUGAAACG
rnacentral:rRNA from 1 species